GAUUAGAGUUUGAUCCUGGCUCAGAAUGAACGCUGGCGGCGUGCCUAACACAUGCAAGUCGGAUGUGCCCGCAAGGGUGCAUGGCAGACGGGUGAGUAACGCGUGGGGAAUCUACCUCUUUGUGGGGAAUAACGUUCCGAAAGGAAUGGUAAUACCGCAUGAGACCGUGAGCUGGGACGCUCACGGUGAAACCUGGGGACCGCAAGGCCUGGGGCAAGGAGAGGAUCCUGCGUCUGAUUAGCUAGUUGGUGGGGUAACGGCCUACCAAGGCAACGAUCAGUAGCCGGCCUGAGAGGGUGAUCGGCCACACUGGAACUGAGACACGGUCCAGACUCCUACGGGAGGCAGCAGUGGGGAAUUUUGCGCAAUGGGCGAAAGCCUGACGCAGCAACGCCGCGUGGGUGAUGAAGGUCUUCGGAUCGUAAAACCCUGUCGUCGGGGACGAAGGUCGGGAGGUGAAUAGCCUUUCGAUUUGACGGUACCCGGAGAGAAGCCCC
rnacentral:rRNA from 1 species